AAUAUCACUUUUUGACCCAUCGUUUCAGCGUUUUCUCAAAAAUAUCACACCUUAAGGGUAAUUACAAAACAAUACCCAUCGUUUUAUUUUUUUCUUGUUUAUGGCCCGUAGAAAUAAUCCGGCAACUGGUAAUUGACGUGUUCCGGCCAAUUGCCAUGUUGGAAGCACACGUGGAAUAAAAAAAAAAAAGGAAAGAAAUUCCACAUAUUUAAAAACACAAAUUAAAACACAUAUGAAAACCACCGUCAUCGUUUUCUAUUGCCUCUCGCCUGUCACCUCCCUCUCUAUCUCUCUCAUUCCCUCUUCUCCCUUGCUCUGCCCCGCCUCCAUCUCUGGCGAGGGCCGCCAUCGACAGCCACGCCGCGGCGCUUCUUGCUCUACCCUGAUUCAAAACACCAAGACCCCCAAAAUCUACAAAUUAAUCCCUAAUUUUCUCCUCUCUCCCUCGCUGUGAACAGCCGCUACCCUCUCUUCUCAUGGCGAACGGCGAGAAUCGCCACCGCCUUCUCCUCUUCUCUCGGUCGGACAUCAACAGCCCCAUGGCCGCCGCUGCCACUCUCCACCACCUCCAUCUCCAUCGCUCUCUCAUCGGAACGGGCGGCACGCCGACAACCUCCGUCACCGCCGUCCUUCUUCUCCCCUCUCAGUCCCGGAUGGACUCACGCCUCACAAGCACUCCUAACAAGAAUCAAGCGCAAACAAGAUCAAAGCUGUAAAGAUUGAAGUAUUAACAAAAUUUUAAGUUGAGCGAAUUGAGCAAAGAAACAACGAGGGCCUUAAUUGAAGAAAGCACAAGGGGCUUCCUCUUCCGUCCUCUUCUGCUGUGGAGAUGGUGGUAGGGAGGCGCCGACGGAGGAGAUGGCAGAGGAGGGAGGAGUUAGGCUCUGAAAUGGGCUAGAAUGGAACAGGCGGCGGCAGCGCGGAGGGACUGGGAUGGGGAUGAGCGACGAAAGAGCGCACUCCAAUGCGGCAAUGCGGUUGAGCAGGGAGGAAAUGGUGGGGCCCGAUUGUUGAGUGUAGUUUUCUUGGAAGUUUUGGGGGGUGUUGAGGUAGAUUUGAGAGGAUGUGGGGAUCCGGCGACAGCAGAUUGUGGUGGUUGCAAGGGGGAUAGAGAUUGAAAUUAAGCAUGAUUUUUCGAAGUUCAACCCAAUUUUUUUGAUGAAAACUUCAAAGAUGAGAGCUCAUAAUCAUAAAUGUCAUCUUCAUAUCAGAGCAUUUGCUGAAUUAGAGCUGCGGUGCUGAGGAUGAUGAAGUAGAGCUGCGGCGCCAAUGGUGGAGGUGGUGAGCAGCGGUGUGGGCGAUGGAGGGGAGGGAAGAGGAGGAGGAUAUGGUAUAAGGCAACACGUCUGAAUCUGAACGAUGAAGAAAUUAGAAUAGGGUUCCAAGGAAGAAAAUAUUUUUAAUUUUAUUUAUAGCUAGGGAUGUCAAUCCAGCCCGAAACCCGUGGGCCGACCCGAAUAACCCGACAAAAUUAGAGGGUUAGGGCUGAAAAAUUACAACCCGAUAACAAAUCGGGCUAGCCCGUUCGGGCUGGCGGGUUGAAGCGGGCCAGCCCGUCGGGUUGAUGAUUUAAAAAAAAAAACGAAAUUAAAAAUAUUAAAAUUUUAGGGUUUGUUUCAA